rnacentral:rRNA from 1 species
UGGCGGCAUGGCUAAAACUGCAAGUCGAGCGAGAAAGUGGAGCAAUCCACGAGUAAAGCGGCGAAAGGGUGAGUAAUACAUUUCUACGUGCCUUGAGGUCAGGGAUAGCCAGGGGAAACUCUGGGUAAUACCUGAUGUGGUCUACGGAUCAAAGGCUUGCCGCCUCAAGAGCGGGGAAUGUCCUAUCAGCUAGUUGGUGAGGUAACGGCUCACCAAGGCGAAGACGGGUAGCGGGUGUGAGAGCACGGCCCGCCACAUCGGAACUGAGACACUGUCCGGACUCCUACGGGAGGCUGCAGUAACGAAUCUUCCGCAAUGCGCGCAAGCGUGACGGAGCAAUGCCGCGUGUAGGAUGAAGCCCUUCGGGGUGUAAACUGCUGUCAGGUUUUAGCAAGCAAGUGAGCAAAGCCAAAGGAAGAGACGACUAACUCUGUGCCAGCAGUCGCGGUAAUACAGAGGUCUCGAGCGUUCAACGGAGUCACUGGGCUUAAAGCGUACGUAGGCGGAUGUGCAGGCGUCGUGUGAAAGCCCUCGGCUCAACCGAGGAAUUGCACGGCGAACCGCACGUCUUGAGACAAGUAGGGGCGGUCGGAACGAUAGGUGGGAGUGGU